CUUGUGAGAAGUAUUCCUAAAAGGAAGGGAGUAGGUGCCUUGCCCUUUUUUUUUUUUUUGCUUUUUCUUCAUCCUGCUGCCUGGACUGUGGAUGACUGACUGAAGCUCUAUCAGUUUUUUGGUCCUUUAGUGGGAAGGCCAAACCCUUAGGACUGGAGGUUGGAGAUCUUGAAGGAGCCGGGGUCCCUAAUGACUGUGGAGCCACCCUGAACCACCUACCUUUGGAUUUCUUCUGCAAGGCCUAUAAACACAUGAGCAUUAGCCCUGGUGCCCACUACUCCCUCAGUUCUGCCAUUUCCAUCUCUGUGCCAAAGAUGAGCUGUGUUCGCUGGAGGCUUAAUUGCUCUCAAGCCACGAUUAUAAGAAGAUGGCCAUCUGGAGACAGAGGCAUACAGGGAGAGUACCAUGUGAUGAUGAAGGCAGAGGUUGGAGUUAUGCAGCUGCAAGCCAAGGAAUGCCUAAGGUUGCCUCCAAGCCGCCAAAAGCUAGGAAGAGGAAAAGAAGGGUUUCCCUACAGGCUUCAGAGGAAACAUGGCACUACAGACAUCUUGAUUCAGACCCAGCCUUCAGAACUGUGAGACAAUAAAUUUCUGAUGUUUUAAGCCACCCACUUUGUGGUACUUUGUUAUAGCAGUCUUAGGAAACGAACACAGCUCCCCAAUUAUACUAAGACCCAGGGAGAUGAAGUGCCUUGCACAAGUUCUAAAACAUCUAUUUUUUCCUCCCUCCACAACUUCUUAAGAGCAAAAUCGAGACUUCUGUGUGGCAUGAAGCAGGGACUCCAUGACUAUUUGUGGGCAUUAAUUUCCUUAAGUCUGAAUUCUAGCAGGUUGAUGGCUUUCCCAGUUCCUGCUUCCUGUCCUGUUCCUAGCCAGUGCUGGUAGCUCAGCCCCAAUGCUUACCCUCUGCUCUUGGCACACCUGCCUGUAGUCACAGAUAGGAGGACUGGAAUUGCCAUCCAUUCUAGGAUAACUUACUCAUUUUUAAAAUAAACUCUUACAGUUAGGAUGCCAAAUUGAUGUCCUCUUGAGUACCAGCUGAAAUCAGUUGGAAAUGACUGCCCUGGGGGAUUCUGCCAGAGUUUUGGAGGCCACUUCUGAACCUGGUGGGAAUAAGAGCCGGAACUAGCUGUGGAUGUCUGCAUGGAUGAGGCAAGGCCAGAUGGUGGCAUUUGAGCGGGAACUUUGCCAUUCCUGAUUUAGGAUCUGUACUAUACAAGUUACCAUUUAAGUAUGUUGCCUUGCAUUGUGAACUAAUUUUUUUUAUUGGUGUUGGUCUUAAUUCACAGUCCACAUCUUAAAUUCAUAUCUUUAGAAUUUCUACCCUAUACCAUAGAGUCUAUCAUCUGUCUAUCUAUCUAUCUAUCUAUCUAUCUAUCUAUCUAUCUAUCUAUCAUCUAUCUAUGUAUCCAUCUAUCUAAUAAAUCUGACUGAGGUACUCAGUGUACUCUGUAGGCUUUACACUGAAUAAUUUAGAAAUAAUGACAAUGUUAUAAUAAUAAAGUUAUGCACUAAAGGUCUUGGCAUCCCAAACAAGCAAAAAUGGACAACUACUUUUCUUGAAGUCUUUGAUUUUGUAGUUUUCAUUCCCCC
rnacentral:lncRNA from 1 species